AUGCUGAUUUAGGUGCAUCCCUUCUAUCUCUUGGUGCGGUCGGCAUUGAGUACCGGAGGUGUGUGUGCUGUUACUGAGCAUUGCCAUGAUAGCUGAAUCAACUAUAGCAGCAAAAUAUAGUCCAUCUAUAUUGUUCAAACCUCAAAUUCUACAAAGAAUAUGAACAUAUUUGUUAAAUUUGAUGGCAUUUCAGGGUGUCCUGCAGCUAUCCAAGCAAGAACAUCACCUUCAAGAUUGAUCAGAGCAGCAACCAUCCAUCCUACUUUGCCUUCCAAAUCUGGGAUCAGCAAGGAAACAAGGAUGUAACUGCUGUUCAGUUGUGUGAGGUACAGACUAAUUAAGCAUAUAAUACACACAUGAAGAAACACAUCACACUAGCUUAACUGUAUGCUACAACUACUAACUCGAUGAUAACUUUGGAUCUUACUACUGCAGACAGAGAACUUGACAUGCAAGCUGUUGGAAAGGAGCCAUGGAGCAGUGCGGGCAGUAGUAUCUCCACCAAGUGGGCCUCUCUCUGUAAGGAUUUUACAAAGUGGAGGUGAUGAUAGAGAUGAGACAUGGGUUGUGCC
rnacentral:lncRNA from 1 species